AGCUUUGCGCAGUGGCAGUAUCAUAGCCAAUGAGGUUUAUCCGAGGCACGAUUAUUGCUAAAAGAAUAACAAAAACUAUUAAAAAAGGAAGCAAAGAGGAGGAAGCUGUCUUUCUAUAUAUUAACAAUUUUAAGCUAUAAUAAUAC